CAGUCGACGGGAUACAUCUGUAGCAUACAGGUGUUAUUUAGUGGCGAACGGGUGCGUACACGUGGGACAUCUGCCGAGAAGUGGGGGAUAGCUCGCCGAAAGGCGAAUUAAUACCGCAUGUGAUCAGAGAGGACAUCCUCUCGAAAUCAAAGCCGGGGCAACCUGGCGCUUCUUGAUGAUCCCGCGGCCUAUCAGCUAGUUGGUGAGGUAAUGGCUCACCAAGGCUUUGACGGGUAGCUGGUCUGAGAGGACGACCAGCCACACUGGAACUGAGACACGGUCCAGACACCUACGGGUGGCAGCAGUCAAGAAUUUUUCACAAUGGGGGCAACCCUGAUGGAGCGACGCCGCGUGGAGGAUGAAUGCUUUCGGGUUGUAAACUCCUGUCAUUUGGGAACAAGGUGCAUCGAUUAACUGUCGAUGCAUUGAUAGUACCAGAAGAGGAAGGGACGGCUAACUCUGUGCCAGCAGCCGCGGUAAUACAGAGGUCUCAAGCGUUGUUCGGAUUCAUUGGGCAUAAAGGGUGCGUACGUGGCGCCGUAAGUCAGAUGUGAAAUUUCGGAGCUUAACUCCGAAACUGCAUUUGAUACUGCGGUGCUUGAAGACUGUAGAGGAGACUGGAAUUCACGGUGUAGCAGUGAAAUGCGUAGAUAUCGUGAGGAAGACCAGUGGCGAAGGCGGUCUCUGGACAGUUCCUGACACUGAUGCACGA
rnacentral:rRNA from 1 species